rnacentral:rRNA from 1 species
UACGAAGGGGGCUAGCGUUGCUCGGAAUCACUGGGCGUAAAGCGCACGUAGGCGGGUCUUUAAGGCAGGGGUGAAAUCCUGGAGCUCAACUCCAGAACUGCCUUUGAUACUGAGGAUCUCGAGUCCGGGAGAGGUGAGUGGAACUCCGAGUGUAGAGGUGAAAUUCGUAGAUAUUCGCAAGAACACCAGUGGCGAAGGCGGCUCACUGGCCCGAUACUGACGCUGAGGUGCGAAAGCGUGGGGAGCAAACAGG